rnacentral:rRNA from 1 species
GAUGAACGCUGGCGGCGUGCUUAACACAUGCAAGUCGAACGAAGCACCUUAUUCUGAUUUCUUCGGAAUGAAAAAUUUGGUGACUGAGUGGCGGACGGGUGAGUAACGCGUGGGUAACCUGCCUCAUACAGGGGGAUAACAGUUAGAAAUGACUGCUAAUACCGCAUAAGACCACAGCACCGCAUGGUGCAGGGGUAAAACUCCGGUGGUAUGAGAUGGACCCGCGUCUGAUUAGGUAGUUGGUGGGGUAAUGGCCUACCAAGCCGACGAUCAGUAGCCGACCUGGGAGGGUGACCGGCCACAUUGGGGCUGAGACACGGCCCAAACUCCUACGGGAGGCAGCGGUGGGGAAUAUUGCACAAUGGGGGAAACCCUGAUGCAGCGACGCCGCGUGAGCGAUGAAGUAUUUCGGUAUGUAAAGCUCUAUCAGCAGGGAAGAAAAUGACGGUACCUGACUAAGAAGCACCGGCUAAAUACGUGCCAGCCGCCGCGGUAA